rnacentral:rRNA from 1 species
UACGGAGGGUGCAAGCGUUAUCCGGAUUCACUGGGUUUAAAGGGUGCGUAGGUGGGCAGGUAAGUCAGUGGUGAAAUCUCCGGGCUUAACCCGGAAACUGCCAUUGAUACUAUCUGUCUUGAAUACCGUGGAGGUGAGCGGAAUAUGUCAUGUAGCGGUGAAAUGCUUAGAUAUGACAUAGAACACCAAUUGCGAAGGCAGCUCACUACACGAAUAUUGACACUGAGGCGCGAAAGCGUGGGGAUCAAACAGG